AAGUUUAUUAUGGAAUUUGUUAUAUGAAAAGAACAGCAAAUUAAGAGUGAUAUAUUUGAUAGAAAUUGAUUUGUUAAUGAAACUUUCUCAAAUUAUUGGGUUUCUAUAUACAAACAUCAGCUAUUAUAUUCAAAAUAAACUAUGGAAAAAACUCAGCCAGUAGUAUUUUCACAAUGUAUUAUCAAGAGUGCAAAAGAACAUAUGAAGGAAUCUCCAUUAUUGGAUCCAAGGAUUACUGUUUUACCUAGUUAUAUUCGUCAAGCUGCUAUGGGAGCAAAUAAUGUUGCAGGUGAUAUUCCAAAUUUUAUAUUUAUUUAUUUCAUAGUUUUUAAAAGUUAUUAUAUACAUUUACGCAUGCAUGCAUGUAUGUAUGUAUAUACAAUAAAACUUAUAUUAAUGUACACUCCCAAAUAGCAGACACUCUACUUAAUGGACAUUUUUACAAUCCUCAGACCCUUCAAAUAUGACACCUAUUAUAUUUAUCUCCAAACAGUGGAUGCUUCAUUUGUAACCAACUAUACAAAAACACAAUGUCCCACCUUUAAUAUUCAGAAACACUUAAUUAUGUGUAAAAACCUCCUAUAGCAUGUGGUCUGUGGGGUUGAACAAAAGAAGAACAGUUAAAACUAUGAAUAAUUGGUGUCACAGUGUGGUUUUAUAAACAAAGGUUUAUUGGAAACAAAUACGCAACUAAUGGAACAAUACAAAGUUUAAUCACAUUACAAUGAUAUUUGUACUCUGAUUAUCUCUCUCCUGACCUUCCUUCUUUAAGCGAAACCCUGCUUUUUUCAGAUAGACCAUAUAAAAAAUAUUAAAAAAAUAGAAACGAUAAUGCUAAGAUAACAUCAAAUACACAGUUGGGGAAACGGGUAUACAAUAACACAUACAAGAUUUCCCUUUGGUCCAAAAUAAUUCGUUGAUUAUGUGACACUAUAGUUAGUCCUUUACCCUAUUUGGAUGGCGAUCUUUUUCUUUCUUGACAUAUUUUCUCAAUGCAAAUGGAUUCCCUUUUCGAUCCAAAAUUUCUUCAAUUCCCAGACGACUGGUUCUCUUGUACCUCUAUUGUCCCAGUCCUUGCAACCUGUGGCAUUCUCUGGUCACUCACAUAUGAAGAAAUCCCCACAAAUGAAAAAAAAAGCUUUUUCAUGUGGUUUAUCCUUGUUUGUGUACCGUCUGCCAACAGAUGUCACUCCGUCCCACGUGACCACACUUUGGGUCUGUUAAGGGAAGAUCUGGCAACACCGUGCAACGUGCAAAACAGAUGGCCCCUUCUAAUGUAUAAGAGUGGAGAACGCCCGGUCUAAGUAGGACCCCGAAUAAAGUAUAGUUGUCCCUCUAUAGUUCGACAUUUUUUAAUCCGACAUGCUCAGUAGUCCGAUGCACCUCCCAUCAAGGUACCCGUCCCCAUUACAUGUCUGCUUGCACAGAAGCA
rnacentral:lncRNA from 1 species